GACGAACGCUGGCGGCGUGCUUAACACAUGCAAGUCGAACGGAAAGGCCCCUUUGGGGGUACUCGAGUGGCGAACGGGUGAGUAACACGUGAGUAACCUGCCCUUGACUUCGGGAUAACUUCAGGAAACUGGGGCUAAUACCGGAUAGGAAUCCUUGCUGCAUGGUGGGGGUUGGAAAGCUUCGGCGGUUUUGGAUGGACUCGCGGCUUAUCAGGUUGUUGGUGGGGUAGUGGCUUACCAAGGCUUAGGCGGGUAGCCGGCCUGGGAGGGCGACCGGCCACAGUGGGACUGGGAUACGGCCCAGACUCCUACGGGAAGCAGCAGUGGGGGAUAUUGCACAAUGGGCGGGAGCCUGAUGCAGCAACGCCGCGGGCGGGAUGACGGCCUUCGGGUUGUAAACCGCUUUCAGCAGGGGCGAAGCUUGUGGUGACGGUACCUGCAGAAGAAGCACCGGCUAACUACGUG
rnacentral:rRNA from 1 species